rnacentral:tRNA from 1 species
AGAUCCGUAGCUCAGCCUGGUUAGAGCACUACACUGAUAAUGUGAGGGGUCAGCAGUUCAAAUCUGCUCGGGUCUACUA